rnacentral:tRNA from 1 species
UGGGAAGUGGCUCAGUGGUAGAGUGCUUGCCUUGUAUGCAUGAGGCCCUGGGUUUGAUUCCUCAGUACCAG